GACGAACUGUGCAAACGUUAUUCGGAAUCACUGGGCUUGAAGAGUGCGUAGGCGGUUUCGUAAGUAGGGUGUGAAAGCCCCCGGCUCAACUGGGGAGGGUCAUUCGAUACUGUCGGACUCGAAGGCAGGAGAGAGAAGCGGAAUUCCCGGUGUAGUGGUGAAAUGCGUAGAUAUCGGGAGGAACACCAGUGGCGAAGGCGGCUUCUUGGCCUGUUCUUGACGCUGAGGCGCGAAAGCUAGGGGAGCAAACGGG
rnacentral:rRNA from 1 species